UUGGGGUAUGUGUUUGGCGCCAGGAGCAGGGCCUGGGCAGCCCCAUGUGUUGAGGAGGAAGGCAGGGUCCCUGGUCCCCAGGCCCAACCCCAC
rnacentral:pre_miRNA from 17 species